UCCGUUAAAGGGAAAGGCAGCUGUGCAGAACCUCAAGGUGCACGUGAACUAAGCCCAGGGGUCCCGGGUCAGUGAGGCUCAGCCCAAAUGCAUUGGGAACCAAACUCACACAUGGGUGUUUGCUCACUCUGUUGAUCAGGAUCCCCUCGUGUGUACCGCUGCUUAACACAUGAUUAAGCGCAUGUAAAAGAAAUGCUGUUUUCAGGAAAUAAUUGCUGAGCAUUCUGAAUCUUGGAAUUUACUAAAAAGGCGAACCACCAAUUGGUCUUUGCUGUUCAAGAAAAAUUCAUCACUGACUCACCUCCCUCCCAGUUCUUGGCUCUCCACGGCUGUGUGAAGAGUAGAUCAACGGGUGGGGCCUUGUGUCACAAAUCACGGCUGCUCCUAGGGGUCCAGGGUUGGGGGAGCACUCCAACCUGUACAGAUGCACCUGUGAUCUCUACAGAAGAGAAGUCUCAUCUUUGCCCCCGAGGAGAAAAGAGCCCAGGACUUGGAGUGCCUUCGCUGAAUAGGUAGGAACUUUCCAGUUUGCAUCCUCUGUGAAAAGCAAUUAGGACCAGCUCCAGAAGGGAUCUGAUAGAAUCAGAAGGAAGAAGUCAGAAGCCACAGUCAAGAACGCAAACAGAAUUGGUAUAUUUGAAGGAAUCAGUCUCCCUUGUGCUGGGAGGCCUUCACAGUGUCAUCUGUGGGUUGUACACACAUUCUACAAUGACUUCCCAUGAUAAACAUAAAACUCUCGGGGAAAACGUUGUGAUCUUAGUGCAAGAGGAUAUCAUUAAACACAACAUGGAAAAAAUCCUGUUAGGAGAGCCAUGGCUGAGAAAAUCUGUAUGUGUGUUCUAGCAUGGAGUUUCACCAUGUAUGAGCUCCAGACCUUGGGGGCACUUGGACUGAUUACAAGGGUCCUAGCAUUUGGAAAUGAUUUAAUGAAUAACCAUCUGACACAUAUGUGUUCUAUUUUCCACAAGAAUGUAGAUACUGAAAUGAUUAUUAAAAUAUUAAUUUAAAUGCAA
rnacentral:lncRNA from 1 species